rnacentral:lncRNA from 1 species
CCAUCCUGUUUCUUCCACGCCGUUCCAUCCUUAUCCGAAUCUCCCAACAUCUUUCUUCUUUCGCUCAACUCCCCUAUUCUGCAUCCAAAAAAAAUCCUCUGCUUCCUUCUCAUAUCCAGCAUCCACCAGCUGCAUCAAAUCUUAUCCACGGAUUCAUCCCAGCAUCCCUUGCAUUUUGCUCCACGUCCUCGUCACCCCCUGCAGCCGAAGAUCAAUCUCUCGG